rnacentral:rRNA from 1 species
UACGUAGGUCCCGAGCGGUGUCCGGAUUUAUUGGGCGUAAAGCGAGCGCAGUCGGUUAGAUAAGUCUGAAGUUAAAGGCUGUGGCUUAACCAUAGUACGCUUUGGAAACUGUUUAACUUGAGUGCAGAAGGGGAGAGUGGAAUUCCAUGUGUAGCGGUGAAAUGCGUAGAUAUAUGGAGGAACACCGGUGGCGAAAGCGGCUCUCUGGUCUGUAACUGACGCUGAGGCUCGAAAGCGUGGGGAGCAAACAGG